rnacentral:lncRNA from 1 species
GUUAUCACUUCCUGAGUGUUGCAUGCAGCCACUUGGGUCCCAGGAGUUUCCUGAGGUGAAUCAGUAGGGUCACGCGAAUGCCUCACUAUACUAUGACUUGAGUCCAGUGAGAUCUCAGUAGGAUUAAUACUUCAGGGAUCCUUAAUAUUUUGAUUUGUUUUCUGAGAUUGGAUUUUAUUUUAUUUUACCUGAUAUUUCAGUUCAUCUAAAUCUUGUGUUCUGUACAUGUGAUGUUUGACUGUACCAUCGACUGUUAUGGAAGUUCAGCGUUGUAUGUCUCUCUACACUGUGGUGCACUUAACUUGUGGAUUUUUUUAUACUAAAAAUGUAGAAUAAAGACUAUUUUGAAGAUUUGAAUAAAGUGAUGAAGUUGCAUUAC